rnacentral:lncRNA from 1 species
AUGCCGUUCCCCGCUGCUGUUCCCUGCUGCUUGCCGUCAUUCCCCGUCGUCCCCCGCUGUUCCCCGCUGCUUGCCGCUGUCCCCUGUUGUCCCCCAUCGUCCCCCGCUGUCCCCCGCCGCUCCCUGCCGUUCCCCGUUGCUCGCUGCUGUUCCCCGCUGCUUGCCGUCAUUCCCCGUCGUCCCCUGCCGUCCCCUGCUGCUCGCCACCGUCCCCUGCCGCUGUCCCCCGCUGUCUCCCUCUGUCCCCUGCCGUCGUUCCCCGCCGUUCCCCAUCGCUCCCCUCCGCUUGCCGCUGUUCCCCGUCGUCCCCUGCUGCUUCCUGCCACUCACCGCCGUCCCCCGCCGCUCCCCGCUGUCCCCCACUGCUCACCACCAUUCCCCGUUGUUCCCUGUCAUUCCAUGCCGCUCGCCAUCGUUCCCCACUGCUCGCCACCGUCUCUUGUCGUCCCCCGUCAUCUCCUGUUGUCCCCCACCACUCACCACCGUUCCCCGUCGUCCCGCGCAAUCCCCCACCGCUUGCCGCCGCUCGCCAGCGUCCCCCGCCGCUCCCUGCCGUUCCCCAUCGCUCGCUGCCAUUCCCCAUCGUUCCCCGUCAUUCCCUGCUGUUCUCCAUCCCCCACGCUGUACCCCGCUGUCCUCCGUUGUUCCCCGUCGCUCCCCGUCGUCCCCCAGCACUCACCGCCGUUCCCCGUCGUCCCCCGCUGCUUGCUGCCGCUCACCGCUGGCUGUCCCCCGCUGCUCGCCGCUGUUCCCCGCCGCCCCCUGCCACUCCCUGCCGUUCCCUGUUGCUCGCCGCCAUUCCCC